UACGAAGGGUGCUAGCGUUGUUCGGAAUCACUGGGCGUAAAGCGCGCGUAGGCGGCUUUGCAAGUCAGGGGUGAAAUGCCAAGGCUUAACCUUGGAACUGCCUUUGAAACUGCGAAGCUGGAGUGUCGGAGGGGAUAGCGGAAUUGCUAAUGUAGCGGUGAAAUGCGUAGAUAUUAGCAGGAACACCGGUGGCGAAGGCGGCUAUCUGGACGACAACUGACGCUGAGGCGCGAAAGCGUGGGGAUCAAACAGG
rnacentral:rRNA from 1 species